AAGUUGUUUGAUUUUUCUUGCAGGCGUUGCAGGAGUUAUUCUAGAGGAGAAACUAGGUUGCCUGGAAAACGAGAUCGAGCCCAGGGUAGCCGAUUUUAUCAAGGCUGUUGGAAAUAUGUUUUUGACGGGUCAUCAAUUGAUGGUUUUUGCAGACGUUCACAAGAAAUUCAACACGAAGCCGUGGAGAACUCACGUUGAAGCCUGGGAUACCAUUUACUCUUUUGCUACAGAGUUGUUUGAGAAGAAAAUCGACGAAAUCCAAAAUGGACAUGUGGAAAAGGAUGCCGUAGCUGGAUUUUUGAGACAUAUGAUUGCACAUACCAAAUUAGACAUGGAUGAGGUCUAUGUGAACACAACUGAGCUGCUGUUAUCUGGUGUAGACACAUCUUCACAUGCGCUCUGUUUCGCUAUGUAUAAUCUUGCCAAAAAUCCAAAUGCCCAAGCAAGAUUGCAACAUGAAGUUGAUACAAUUUGCAAAGGGAAUACCUGCACAUCCGCAAACCUCCAGAACAUGCCUUUCUUGAAGGCAGUUGUUAAAGAGAGUCUGAGAAUGUAUCCUGUAAUACCAAUCAAUGCAAGAGUCAUGCAGGAAGAUACCGUUCUUAACGGAUAUGUUAUUCCUAAAAAUACAUGUGUUCUAUUAAAUGGAUAUACCAUGGGUUACAAUGAAAAAUACUUUCCCGAUCCUGAAUCUUUCAAACCCGAGAGAUGGUUGCGAAGCUCUGGUGAUGAAAAACAUCCCUUUGCCAUGCUACCAUUUGGAUUUGGGUCCAGAAUGUGUGUUGGCAGAAGGAUUGCUGAACAAGAACUGUUUUUAACUCUAACCAAAAUGACACAAUCAUUUUGGAUGGAAGCAACGGGGGACAUAGAAACUACAUUACGGACAGUUAUUACUCCCAAGGGUAAAAUCCCCAUUCAAUUUGUUGACCGAUAAUUCAAAUGAAAUUUUCAUUGAAAUGUGGACAGUCAUGAACAACGCCUUCUUGUUUCAACAACAAGAGGAAACUUUCGAAAUCCAGAACGAUCGUCAGUUCACCAAAACCUGACGAGUUCCAAUACCUCAUCCCAGAGGUUCCAGUUUCUUGGCCCACGUGGUCGAGCCAUGAUCACGUGUGUUCUAGAAAGACUCUUCUAGAUGAACUUGUCUUGGUCAGAUUGUACAUGUUGUGAUAUGUACAGAUGUCAUGGGUGCUUCUAUACAUAGUGAUAGAAUCGGAGAAGACGGGUAUUGCCACUUCGUCAUUGUUAUGCUUUAUGUGAUCUGUAUGUUUAACUUUUUGAUACAAUGCAAAUAUCAUCUUUCACAAUGUUUGAAACAAUAUCCUUGUACAGUUUCAUGUUUAUCAUUUCCACCUAUACGUAUGUACAUUGUAAGUAAAUCUCCAUUUAUUUAUUUGACGAAUCUCUUCAGACGUAUACGACAAGCCAUUAUGUGAUGCUUUGACACGGUCUUUUCAAAGACGAUAUUGAACUUCAAGAAACAACAUUCUGACAAAUUGAAGUUAUUUAUCUAUUGAAGUUUAAUGCUAUCAACCUUAUUCACGUCCAUUUGAAGAGACAAUGAUUUCUUUGAUAUAUAACUCUAAGGUGCAAUAUUCGUAUUCGUCAGGAAAACAGUUGUUAACUCUUAAUCAUGUUAAGCCCUCGACGUGCAAUGAUCAUUAUUUCAUUAAUUUUAAUGAUAUGUGCACACCUGGGAAGUGAGACCGCCCAAGGAUCUCUCCAAAGGUGUGUCUGCCUUUGUAGCCACUUAGUGUGAGGAACACUUGCUCACUGUUGUAUAGAACUUGAAUCAUAUAUGUUCAGGAAAAUCUCUGAGAGUAGCUCCUUUGUAUUACGUUGACAAGGUUUUUUUCCCCAAAAAUUAAAACUGUUUCUUGAAUUGAAUGUUAUUCUUGUAAAUUGUAUCUUUAACGUGCAUAAUAAUUUAUGAAAGCAAUUUUUACCUCAAUUCUCUACGACACAUCUUCUUUCAGUUGUGUAAAAAAGAAAUAAAUGUGUACAAACAUUC
rnacentral:misc_RNA from 1 species